rnacentral:rRNA from 1 species
GAUGAACGCUGGCGGCAUGCCUAACACAUGCAAGUCGAACGGGCGAGGAAAGCUUGCUUUCCGAGCUAGUGGCGGACGGGUGAGUAAUGCGUGAGCAACCUGCCUCAAAGAGGGGGACAACAGUUGGAAACGACUGCUAAUACCGCAUGAUGUACGGAGAGGGCAUCCUCACCGUACCAAAGAUUUUAUCGCUUUGAGAUGGGCUCACGUCUGACUAGCUAGUUGGUGAGGUGACGGCUCACCAAGGCUUCGAUCAGUAGCUGGACUGAGAGGUUGAACGGCCACAUUGGGACUGAGAUACGGCCCAG